GAAUAAUGUUCAUUUCAUGAUAGUUUUGCCAGUUUUCUUCUUCAACUCACUGUUUUUAUUACAUUAAGAACAAAGGAAGGCAACAUAAGGCAACACUUCAUUUUUCUCCAUUGUAAAAUGCAUGCAAAGAUCAACCAUUUGACUCCCCUGUCAAAUGUUUAGCUGCUUUCCUCAGUCCUCCAUAGUGUUAAAUUGUGACGCAGGUAGGGAACAGCCCCCACCCCCUCACCCCGUCUGACCUGUGCAUCUGUUGGUGAAAGCUCUGCAGUCAUAUUCCCCUGUUUUCACGUGCUCGGAGCAGCAGUGCAGAAAUGCUCGAGCAGAUGAUCAUAGCAAUGUCUGUUCUCCUGACCCUCUUCCAUGCCGAACUUACUGAAUCCUCCUCAAGCUGCUAUCAUGAGCAAGGUUUGAGAUUUUCUGUUGCUUCUUUUAAUUCAGUUAUGCAGCUGAUUUGUUGAUGUGGUGUGCAGCAUAUCCUUGUGGAUGCAGAAUAUUUAUCAAAGACAGAGUUGUACAAAUUAAAUUAAUAUUACAAAAUUAAACUUUGCAUUAAUUAAACAAAUCAAUAGACAAAAAAGAGGGGCACAAACAGUAGAAGUAUGCGGUGCACCACAUCCUCAAUCUCUAACUUUCUCUUUCAAAAUCAAAAUGUGCAUAUAUGCUUUUAUCUUUCAGCCGAAAUAAAAAGAGUGGAUGAAAAUGCAACAGCAUUUGUGUCCUGUCCAGCACUUGCUGUGCAUAAAAAACCAUCUAUCACUCUAUAUAAGGGAAAUACAAAGCUGCACUCAACAAACCUGAGUGAUGUGGACAGUAAUAAAACAUGGCAGCGUUUUCAGGUGUACAUACAAAACUCCUCAGUCUCAUAUAAGAUUUUAAGGACUGAAGCCAAUGACACAGGACUCUACAACUGCGUAAUCGACCCGCACUUCAGGACAAAGGAUUCACUAACUAUGUUGCUCAUUAAAGACGGUCUGCUGCCCAUAGAAUCAACUGUCACUUGUCCCACUGAUCAGAUACUGCCACUUAUUGUUGGCUGUGUGGUCAUCAUUGUAUAUAAUCUGUUCGUCACUGUCUUUGGCUGUUACCUCAAAUAUAAACUCAAGAACACAGAGCCAGCUGAGAAUCCCUACAUAAACACAAGACCAAGAGGAUUCAGACGACGCUAA
rnacentral:lncRNA from 12 species